rnacentral:rRNA from 1 species
CUUGGUCAUUUAGAGGAAGUAAAAGUCGUAACAAGGUUUCCGUAGGUGAACCUGCGGAAGGAUCAUUACAGAAUAAACUUGGUGGGUUGUUGCUGGCUCUCAUUUGGGCAUGUGCACACCUGUCAUCUUUAUCUUUCCACCAUGUGCACUCUCUGUAGAACUGGAAUAAACAAUAAGCCUAGUCACUUGUUGACUACUGGAAUGUUGCUGAUUCUUCAGCUCAUUCUGUAUUUGGCUGUUUAUCCUAGGCUCUACGAUAUUUCUAUAUACACCAUGUAUGUCAAUGAACGCAAUCAAUGGGCCCAUAAAGCCUAUAUACCUAUAAAUACAACUUUCAGCAACGGAUCUCUUGGCUCUCGCAUCGAUGAAGAACGCAGCGAAAUGCGAUAAGUAAUGUGAAUUGCAGAAUUCAGUGAAUCAUCGAAUCUUUGAACGCACCUUGCGCUCCUUGGUAUUCCGAGGAGCAUGCCUGUUUGAGUGUCAUUAAAUUCUCAAUCUUAACAACUUUGUGUUGUCUAGAUUGGAAGUGGGGGUCUUUUGUGUGGAAUCCAAUUCCUCACUCCCCUUAAAUGUAUUAGCCGGAAUGCCUCUGCAUAUCUGACUAUCAGUGUGAUAAUUAUCUAUGCUGUAGUUGUUGCAUGAGGGUAUCUGCUUCAUCAAUCGUCGCAAGACAACUAUUGACCAUCUUGACCUCAAAUCACGUAGGACUACACGCUGAACUUAAGCAUAUCAAUAAGCGGAGGA